AUUGAACGCUGGCGGAAUGCUUUACACAUGCAAGUCGAACGGCAGCACGGGGCAACCUGGUGGCGAGUGGCGAACGGGUGAGUAAUACAUCGGAACGUGCCCAAUCGUGGGGGAUAACGUAGCGAAAGUUACGCUAAUACCGCAUACGAUCUACGGAUGAAAGCGGGGGAUCGCAAGACCUCGCGCGAAUGGAGCGGCCGAUGUCAGAUUAGGUAGUUGGUGGGGUAAAGGCUCACCAAGCCAACGAUCUGUAGCUGGUCGGAGAGGACGACCAGCCACACUGGGACUGAGACACGGCCCAGACUCCUACGGGAGGCAGCAGUGGGGAAUUUUGGACAAUGGGCGCAAGCCUGAUCCAGCCAUUCCGCGUGCAGGAUGAAGGCCUUCGGGUUGUAAACUGCUUUUGUACGGAACGAAACGGCUCUCUCUAAUACAGGGGGCUAAUGGCGGUACCGUAAGAAUAAGUACCGGCUAACUACGUGCCAGCCGCCGCCGUAAGAC
rnacentral:rRNA from 1 species